AUACAGAGGGUGCGAGCGUUAAUCGGAAUUACUGGGCGUAAAGCGCGCGUAGGCGGUCUAUUAAGUCAGAUGUGAAAUCCCCGGGCUCAACCUGGGAACUGCAUCUGAUACUGGUAAGCUAGAGUUUUGGAGAGGGAAGUAGAAUUUCAGGUGUAGCGGUGAAAUGCAUAGAGAUCUGAAGGAAUACCAGUGGCGAAGGCGGCUUCCUGGCCAAAAACUGACGCUGAGGUGCGAAAGCGUGGGUAGCAAACGGGAUUAGAUACCCUAGUAGUCC
rnacentral:rRNA from 1 species